rnacentral:misc_RNA from 1 species
UUGAUUCGUUGCUUGUAGCUCAGACAGCACCGUUAAACAGGAGUUUUGAUGUAUCCUCCGGCGGGUGAACCCGCCGAGGCAACAUGAGUCAAUCCUCAAGGGUUUAGAAGUUCGCGGUUCGACCCGCGUUUACUUUCUGUAAUGAUCCUUCCGCAGGUUCACCUACGGAAA